rnacentral:rRNA from 1 species
GAUGAACGCUAGCGAUAGGCCUAACACAUGCAAGUCGAGGGGCAGCACAUGAAGUAGCAAUACGGAUGGUGGCGACCGGCGCACGGGUGAGUAACGCGUAUGCAACCUGCCUACAACAGGGGAAUAACCCGUUGAAAGACGGACUAAUACCCCAUAACACAGGGAUCCCGCAUGGGAAUAUUUGUUAAAGAUUUAUCGGUUGUAGAUGGGCAUGCGUUCCAUUAGCUGGUUGGUGAAGUAACGGCUCACCAAGGCAACGAUGGAUAGGGGAACUGAGAGGUUUAUCCCCCACACUGGUACUGAGACACGGACCAGACUCCUACGGGAGGCAGCAGUGAGGAAUAUUGGUCAAUGGACGCAAGUCUGAACCAGCCACGUCGCGUGAAGGAAGACGGCCCUACGGGUUGUAAACUUCUUUUGUAAGGGAAUAAAGUGCAGUACGUGUACUGUUUUGCAUGUACCUUACGAAUAAGGAUCGGCUAACUCCGUGCCAGCAGCCGCGGUAAUACGGAGGAUCCGAGCGUUAUCCGGAUUUAUUGGGUUUAAAGGGUGCGCAGGCGGGAGAUUAAGUCGGCGGUGAAAUUUUGCAGCUCAACUGUAAAAGUGCCUUCGAAACUGGUUUUCUUGAGUGUGGAUGAAGUAGGCGGAAUUUGUGGUGUAGCGGUGAAAUGCAUAGAUAUCACGAGGAACUCCGAUUGCGCAGGCAGCUUACUAAACCAUAACUGACGCUCAGGCACGAAAGGCGUGGGGAUCAAACA